UUAUGGCUCAGGACGAACGCUGGCGGCGUGCUUAACACAUGCAAGUCGAACGGGGAUUAUGAGCGGAAGGCUCGGCCGGAAGGUUGGUAAUUCGAGUGGCGGACGGGUGAGUAACGCGUGAGCAACCUGUCCCAGACAGGGGGAUAACACUUGGAAACAGGUGCUAAUACCGCAUAAGACCACGGGGUCACAUGGCCCAGGGGUAAAAGGAGCAAUCCGGUUUGGGGUGGGCUCGCGUCCGAUUAGCCAGUUGGUGAGGUAACGGCCCACCAAAGCGACGAUCGGUAGCCGACCUGAGAGGGUGAUCGGCCACAUUGGAACUGAGAGACGGUCCAAACUCCUACGGGAGGCAGCAGUGGGGAAUAUUGGGCAAUGGGCGAAAGCCCUGACCCAGCAACGCCGCGUGAGUGAAGAAGGCCUUCGGGUUGUAAAGCUCUAUUAUAGUUGACGAAGGAAGUGACGGUAGGCUAUAAGGAAGCCCCGGCUAACUACGUGCCAGCCGCCGC
rnacentral:rRNA from 1 species